rnacentral:rRNA from 1 species
CUACGGGAGGCACCAGUGGGGAAUAUUGGACAAUGGGGGAAACCCUGAUCCAGCAAUGCCGCGUGUGUGAAGAAGGCCUGCGGGUUGUAAAGCACUUUCGGUUGGGAGGACUGCUUCUAGCACUAAUAUUGUUGGAAGUUGACGUUACCUUCAGAAGAAGCACCGGCUAACUCCGUGCCAGCAGCCGCGGUAAUACGGAGGUGCAAGCGUUAAUCGGAAUUACUGGGCGUAAAGCGCGCGUAGGCGGCUAGAUCAGUCGGGUGUGAAAGCCCCGGGCUUAACCUGGGAACUGCACCCGAUACUGUCUAGCUCGAGUACAGGAGAGGAGAGUGGAAUUCCACAUGUAGCGGUGAAAUGCGUAGAUAUGUGGAGGGACACCAAUGGCGAAAGCAGCUCUCUGGCCUGAUACUGACGCUGAGGUGCGAAAGCGUGGGGAGCAAACAGGAUUAGAUACCCCUGUAGUC